GUCUCCACCGACACUCACAUCAUCCUCCAAUUAUUCUCUUCAUCGAGAGCUCUACCCGCACUCCCAACGAAUGCGGGCACCUCUCAGAAACCAACUGCCAACAAAAGGAAGGAUCCGACUGCUGCUGAGAUAUUCACACCAGCAAACCCCGCAAUCUAUGGUGCUGAUACCGUGAGGGCACCAGUUAUCGCACGAACCCCUGUUAUCGGAAAUCGAGCGCUCUAACGACGGAAUUUGGCAUUUAUCAAAUAUAGCUAAUCAUCGACGGCCAUUUAGCCUUGUCUCUUUGUCGAGUUGAAUGAGUGGUCUACAAGUCACAAUUUUUUUGAAUAUUGAAAUAAUUGUGUGUAAUUAAUACGAAGAUAUUUUAUCUGACCGUCUGGUGACUGAUGUGUUCGUCAAGUGUGAUGUAGUAGGCGAAGGCUGAGUUUCCUGGAGGUUUCACAAGGAUAUACCAGCAAAAUGUCCACGCCUGAAAAAACGACUAAAACUAAAAAAUCAAGAUCACAAUACAGCAAGGAUGAUUUACGAAGAGCUCUGGAGGCCGUGAAUUCAGGGAGAACACUAGGAGCAGUGAGCAAAGAAUACAAUAUUCCCAAGUCAACAUUGUUUGAUAAGAAAAGGGGGAAAACAGCACCUGAAAUUAUUCAACCAGGUCCUGAGUGUGUCUUGGGGGAAGUGUACGAAAAAAAGUGGCUCGUUCAAUCAAGAAGGAGAAGAUGUUGGCAGAAAAGCAGAAGAAGGAAGAAUUGGCCAAAGCCAAGAAGAGGAGUCCCAGUAUUGUGGCUAAAAAGAGAGGCAUAAAAAGGAAAAAACCAGUGGAAAGUAAAAUAAAAGGAGAGGAGCCCGAUGUGGCCAGAAAAAUUAAAAAGGAAUUAUUGGAUGAUAGCCUCGGAGAGGACAAAGAUACCAACAGCCCCCCAGCAAAAAUUCUUUCCAGAGAACAAUAACGAAUAAACCUUCAUUAUAUUAAGUAUUUGUACCUUAUCAUUGAUUGAUGUUAAUUUUUAAAGGUUUAUGACUGUUGGGAAAAUAGUAAAACUAUUGUACGUAUGUAUAUUACGUACGUAUAUUAAAUAUUUGUACCUUAUCAUUGAUUGGUGUUAAUUUUUAAAGGUUUAUGACUGUUGGGAAAAUAGUAAAACUAUUGUACGGAUGUUUGUUAUGA